GACGGAGGGUGCUAGCGUCGUUCGGAAUCACUGGGCGUAAAGGGCGCGUAGGCGGCUGGUCAAGUCGGCUGUGAAAGCCCGGGGCUCAACCCCGGAGGUGCAGCCGAGACUGAUCGGCUCGAGGCCGGAAGAGGAGGGUGGAAUACCCAGUGUAGAGGUGAAAUUCGUAGAUAUUGGGAGGAACACCGAUGGCGUAGGCAGUCUACUGGCUCGUUUCUGACACUAAGGCACGAAAGCGUGGGGAGCAAACGGG
rnacentral:rRNA from 1 species